rnacentral:rRNA from 1 species
GACGAACGCUGGCGGCGUGCUUAACACAUGCAAGUCGAACGGUGAACCCGCUUCGGUGGGGAUCAGUGGCGAACGGGUGAGUAACACGUGGGCAACCUGCCCCCGGCUCUGGGAUAACUCCAAGAAAUUGGGGCUAAUACCGGAUAUGACCGCUGACCGCAUGGUCUGGUGGUGGAAAGAUUUAUCGGCUGGGGAUGGGCCCGCGGCCUAUCAGCUUGUUGGUGGGGUAGUGGCCUACCAAGGCGACGACGGGUAGCCGGCCUGAGAGGGUGACCGGCCACACUGGGACUGAGACACGGCCCAGACUCCUACGGGAGGCAGCAGUGGGGAAUAGUGCGCAAUGGGCGAAAGCCUGACGCAGCGACGCCGCAUGGGGGAUGACGGCCUUCGGGUUGUAAACCUCUUUCAGCAGGGACGAAGCGAAAGUGACGGUACCUGCAGAAGAAGCACCGGCCAACUACGUGCCAGCCGCCGCGGUAACAC